GAUGAACGCUGGCGGCGUGCCUAAUACAUGCAAGUCGAGCGAACAGAUAAGGAGCUUGCUCCUUUGACGUUAGCGGCGGACGGGUGAGUAACACGUGGGUAACCUACCUAUAAGACUGGAAUAACUCCGGGAAACCGGGGCUAAUGCCGGAUAACAUUUAGAACCGCAUGGUUCUAAAGUGAAAGAUGGUUUUGCUAUCACUUAUAGAUGGACCCGCGCCGUAUUAGCUAGUUGGUAAGGUAACGGCUUACCUAGGCAACGAUACGUAGCCGACCUGAGAGGGUGAUCGGCCACACUGGAACUGAGACACGGUCCAGACUCCUACGGGAGGCAGCAGUAGGGAAUCUUCCGCAAUGGGCGAAAGCCUGACGGAGCAACGCCGCGUGAGUGAUGAAGGUCUUCGGAUCGUAAAACUCUGUUAUUAGGGAAGAACAAAUGUGUAAGUAACUGUGCACGUCAUGACGGUACCUAAUCAGAAAGCCACGGCUAACUACGUG
rnacentral:rRNA from 1 species